GAGGGGUUAUAAGAAGGCCCACCAAUUAGUUCUCAAUAAAGCACUGAAUCAGUCUCAUUCUUGGUUAUUCUCUGAUCUCAUUAGACUAGUUCCCUUUUAAUUGGAUUCCCACAUGCACUGAAUUUCCUGUUCUUGACCUCCAAUCUACCAGUGACUGGGUGUGUCUGAACAUUCCAGAGGCUGACUUCUUCUCUGCCUGACUCUCAGGCUACCCAUCAUACCACCUUCUCCUCAGGGCUGGGAUGGGCACCUGAGCUGGACCUGGCCUGUCAGAGUGACUCAUUCAUUCCUGUAGCCACAGUAAUUAAGCCAAGGAUGAACAUGUGGUCCCAGCUAGGCCAACCAGAAGCUUUCCUUUUGGAGUUUUAUUGGAACUGGAGAAGAGGAUUUCUCUUUUGGGUCUUGGAGAUGGAAGUAUAUUAUCAGGAAACUCCAUCAAUCAUCUUUCUUUCCACAUGGGAAAGCCAGUCCACAAUCAUAAAAAAAAUAAUUUGAGCAUAGCAAUCUUCAUUGUCAGUCAACUCAGGAAAGCUUUGAAAUAAAACUCAGAGCAGGGGUGGAAAGAGGAAUGCGUGUACUUUUGUUUAUAAUUAUAUCAGGCAUAUUAAUAGUAGCUCUCUCAAAAUAAAAUCAAAGACAUGUAAAUGGGUAGAAUCACUCCCUCAGCAGUAAGUGAAGUUUCCUAAAGAAAAUAAAUAAUCUUCUAUGUUGGACAUAUUUGUACAUUAAGACAGGAUGGAUCACGACCUGGACUGAAGACUUCUACUAGUUUUUCUUUACGCCCAAACUUACACCAUAAAAAUCAACAAACAUUAAGAUCCUUCUCUUUACAAAGACAGCAGAAACAAGACAAGGAAGAUACCAGAAGCAAUAAUUUGUAAGAAUCAAAAAGGUAGUCAGAUUCUCCAUAUGUAGUCAGUUCUUGUCACACCUCUGUUCAAAGCUUCCAGAGAAUCUCCAUCCCUUUUAGGAUAAAUCCAAAGUAUUCACCAUGGCCUAUGAAGUUUUAGAUGAUUCAGCAUAUGGCUUCUUCUUUGACCUCAUUUUCUGCUAGUUUCCAUCUUGCUUAUGCCACUGCAACCAGCUGGGCUCCUUGCUGUUCCUCAAAUAGUCCAAGCACUUCUACUUCAGGAGGAUUGCAAGUUCUGUUUCUUCUUUCUGAUACAACUUUUUCUCUGUUACCAUCUGUAUUAGUCCAUUCUCACACUGCUAUUAAGAAAUUCCUGAGACUGAGUAAUUAAUAAAGAAAAAAGUUUUAAUUGGCUCACAGUUCUGCAGGCUAUAUACAGGAAGCAUAGUGGCUUCUGCUUCUGGAGAUGCCACAGGAAACUUAGAAUCAUGGUGAAAGGCAAAGGGGAAGCAGGCAUGUCUUACAUGGCUGGAGCAGAAGGAAGAGAGAGGGAGGUGUAUGUGAGGUGCCACACACUUUCAAACAACAAGAUCUCAUGAUAACUUUAUCAUGAGAACCACAUUAUGGGGGGUGUUGCUAAACUACUCAUGAGAAACCGCCCCCAAGGUCCAAUCACCUCCCACCAGGACCCAUUUCCAACAUUGGGGAUUACAAUUUGACAUGAGAUUUGGGCAGAGACACAAAUCCAAACCGUAUCACCCUCAUGGCUUUCUCACUUGUUUCAAGUAUCUGCUCAAAUGUCACCUAAUCAUUAAGGCCACCACUGGCCUUUCCAAAUAAAAUAAUCUACCCCA
rnacentral:lncRNA from 10 species